GUGGUUUUCCGUCCUGUCUGGUGUCCAUGCCACAGAGCAGCGGUGUUCCGCCGGCGCCGCAGGAGCUUUCAACAUGCAUCCCUGACUGCAGUCAGGGGCCCUGGCCUCUUCCCUGGUAGCUUGUCAGAUGUAAAAACCGCAACAGCCGACUCAACGAUAGCCGUCUCUGGAAUGACUCAAAACUAGACCUUUUAUUUUCUUUUAGUCAGGUUGCCCAGAAAUACGUUUUUUUACAAACGGUUGAGGAUCCCUGCCCUAGAUCAGUGGGUACAGGAUGUGACACAGUGAAGGGUUAAGAAAUGGCAGUAUCACUAACUUCGUUUCUUAGCAUUUAUACUUAAUUGAAAUUACUGUUUCUUAAAUGAUAGAAUACAAUUCUUUAGAUACUUUACCAUCACUUCCUUACAGUGGAGACCCUGUGAUGAUAAUCUAGGCCUACCUUGAUUUUCAGCUCCAUAGAAAUUCCUAGGCAGUGCAGGUGUGGGGGACCCAUGUUGGCCAUUAAAGGUCAAAAAGGAGAAAUCGGAAAGUGUCGUGUGAGGUAACGGGGGUGAGAGGACUUUGCCCGCUGAGUGAGAACAGUGAAAGCCCAGGAGAAGAGCGGUGUUUCAAAUGCAUCUCCAAGGACAUUUGCUCUGGAUGUGAGUGGCGAUCAAUGGCUUCAGGAAGUGAGUUACCUGCCAACUGUGUGCAGGCAGACUGUGUAGGGGACAUCUGUGGCUUUGUUUUCCUUCUCAAGUGCCUCCAUUCUCGUACUCGGCGGCGCUCUGGGCCGCAGGGUCCUCGGGACAGGCUGCAGCCGGAAGACCUGGUUCACAGGCUCCUGGCUCCACGUCCCUGCAGCGGCGCGCCGUUGCAGUCCUGGAGGCCAUGUGGCUCACGCCGCGUAUCCUUGCUGUGACUGAGAACUGGUUGGUUAGCGGGGGAUGGCUUGCCAGGUUAGUUACUUCCUUUGGUGGACACUUAAUCUUCCAAGGGGGUGAGGUGGACAAGAUGCAAGAAAGUCUUUUCGUAGCUCAACUCCAUGUUUGAGGUUGCAGAUCAGUUAGUUGUAUCAGAUUUCUAGUGGAUGAGGGUAACAAAAUCGCCUAGACAGGUUAGAAUUCAUCCUAUUACGUCAGACACACUUGUACAGUGCUUUAUAAAGGUUCUUGUACAUGAUUACUUGUCCUGCGGUGGUAACAAUAUAUGGUUCCCGAUACAGGUAAUUCUGUCUAUUAGGAAACACAUGUCAGGAAAAGGAGUUUGUACUGUUUCAGUGAUAACAGUUGUGUUAUAUUACCAUAGUGCUUUGGUUUCUUGCAUCAGGCAUGAUAGACCCUAGCCUAGACCGCCUUCUUGGUCUUCCAGAAUGCAGUCUGCAUUCAUAGACCUGUCAUUGGACUUGGCUUCAUCUGUUUCAUCUACCUUAAUUUUAGUUGACCAUUCUCACGAUUCUUCCAUAGUGAUUUUUCACACAUUGGAAUAUUUUGAUUGCUGUUUUCAAUGUAGUUUAGGUUCUACAGUUGGAUUAGAAUAAGUUACUGGAAAAGAGGAAACUGAGAUCAUCUUUCUUCCUGGUAUUAUAUCUGUCUGUUAUCAUUUCAUUAUUUCAGCUUUCAGUUUGUUGGACCAUUUGCUUAAGGAACUGGAUUCUGAGCUACUUGACCUACUUGUAAGACUCAAGAUCACAAAGCUAUUGUCAGAUUGCUGGGUAUUUCAGUGCAUUUGCUUUUACCCCCGGGUUUUCACCUGAAUUCUGUGUCAGUUGAACGAUACCGCUGCCAAAGAUGAUCCACCCCUCCAUCUCCUCAGCCGGGGGCCUUUGCAUUACUAGACAUGCGCAGUCUGCAGGUGGUUGUGUUUUGACCAAGGUGUGCUCGUGUUGGGAAGACCUUGGCUUGACUUAUGAUGAGCUGUGUUUCCUGAGCAUGACCCCGUGAAGCUCAAUCUGAGUACUCUGAAGUCCUGCCCAAGUGUCCGUCCGGGGACGUGGGGCACACCUGUUCUAACACUCGCUUGCAGGCUGUCAUUUCAAAGGUUUCCCCAUGGGCGUUGUGCAGGGAGAGUGGAGCUGCAGGUUUCCCAGUGAGGUUGAGGGAGGCGGUUCUGGCCCGCUGCUCUGGUUUCCUUUUGUAUAUAGUAUCUCCUCUGCUUGUGACAUUGGUACAGCCCACCUUUGCCUUUUUCAGUGUGCAUUUCAAGUGAUAACUUCAGGAGAGUAAGGAUUGGGGAGAUAGUGUGGGUUCCCACCUUGUAGCAGAGUUGACUGAGACCAUGUCCCUAAUCCAUGAGGGGUUCCAGUUACCACAUGAGUGAGAAAUGGCCAGUUUGUUGUCAAGACAUUGCUUCAUUUGGUAUUAGGACGAGAAUUUAAAAAUGUAAGUACUUUAAUUCAUAGUCAGUUUCCACCUCUAUCUUGGCAAGACACAGAUGGAGAUUUAGAAUUUCUGGCUCUGAUUUCAAGGGGGUGAAAGUGAUACUUGGCAAUUGGUGGAUCUGAGCUCUAGAGCAAGGAAGGGUUUUUUGCCUUUUUGAAAUGGGGUCUCUCUAUUCUCAUCAUUCUUCAAUAUCUGUCAUUGCUGGAGUAACGGAUCUUUUAUUAUCUGAGAAUGACAUUCUCUGAUUAGAUGCUUGUGCUUUGCUUAUAGUAGCCAUUGUGAGGGGGUUGAAUAGUAAUUAAACAGGUGUUUAGAAAAAAGCCUGUAUAAAAAAGGUACCAUGGACAGUUGAAUGUAUUAAGACCUUAUCCUUAAAUAGUCACCUUAAUUUGUUAAUGAGAGAGAGAGUGAGUGUGUGUGUGCGCGCGCGCGUGAAGUGUAAAUACGAUGUGGGUGUUGUGAUGCUGUGAGGAGUGAACAGCUUCUUGUGAAAAGCUGUUGGGGUUCCAAUGAAUUACAUUCUUUUUAAAGUAAGUUAGUGUUUUCACAGUUUUUACCUUAUUUAGUCCCUGUUUUCCCUGCCAGAAAUGUUUGUAUACUUACUACCUCAGAGAUUUGUUUGGUUUCCCUUGGUGUGGAGGGUCCUGAGCAGCAGGAAUAUGCUGAAUGAAUGAGAGAAGGAAGCCACCCUUUCUGCCUGAACCACAUUAGAAGCAUCCAGUUGAGUGAGAGGAAAGGACUGAGUUUUAGGGGCCUGUUGAAGUACAGUGUUGCCUGAGGGUCAUUUGGCCUUAGCCGUUUGGUACAACCUAGAGUGGUCACUUCCUGCAGGGAGAAAGGACACUGGUAGCUGCUGGGUGGGCCCCAUGCAGAAAAACCCAUUCAUGGGGGCAGGUGUCAUAAAGGGAGUCCCCUCACAUGCGAAUCCUUGGAAGGGGAUCAGGUGGUGGUUUCUUGGAGGAGGGAAGGCCGACUUCCUCGUUGCUGAUGGUGGCAGCUCUCCGAGCUGCCAAGCGAAACAGGUCCAGCAGAGCUAGUGGUGAUGGCAGUGGACGGAGUGCCUUGGCAGAAGGCGGCGGCGCAGUGGUGGGAGCAGGAAGGGAAGAAGGAAGGAGACGGUUUUACAGGGAAUUUAUCACGUCCUUGUGUUGUCCAAAUGGGAGGGGAGACAUGUCCGUUGAGAGCUGAAUCAGAAUUCCUUCCUGUGUGGGGGUUAGGACUCCGAAAUACCGUCUGCUGGCCCCCGUGAGGGUAACUUCAGUGUGCUUGUCUCCAACAGCUUUGUCCUGUGAGGCUCUGUCCUUUCUUGAGGUCACUGCAUAGGCAGCACGGGGUCUUCUGUUCAUGGAGGGUCAGUUCCUGCUGUGGGUUUUAGAAUGGGUCACGUGGUUUACAAGUGUGGGCAGCUGAGAGGAAAUCAAACUUUUCUCCAACUCCAGUGCACGUGAGAGUCACCUGGCGGGUUGUACAGUUUUCAUUUUUUAGCUCCGUAGUCCUGGGUCUGAGAAAUUGACAUGUUCUUGGAUAGGCACCACAUGUAGAGAACAUCUAGGUUUUCUUCAUUUUCUGAAAGUGCUGUUAUAUGACUGCUCAUUCAUAUGGCUGUGGGUAACAUUGAAAUACAUUAUAGGAUAUUUAACAAUGAAUAUGAAUAGGGAAUUUUGAAAGAAAAUUGGUUGUCUUAUAAAAUGAAUGGAAAAUGAUCUAUUUUUUCUUGUAAUAACAAACUAGAACUGAUUAACAGUAGCCAUUGGAAUCAAAUGCAUGGGUGAACAUACUUAAAAAAUUGGAGGGACAAUGUGAAUCCAUAUAUCUUAUUAGAACAGGUUCCCAAUGUUCAUUUAUACUAUGUACUUUACCUGAGGCAGUGAGUUAUUUUUUUAAAUUUUUGUAAUGAUGUACUACUACCCAAAUUUUUUACUUGGUUCAAUUUGGAUAAAAAUGACCAAUACACAGAAAUUUCCAGAAAACGAGAUGUUCUGAGGUGCUGUGAAGAAUAGAUGUGAUCUCACUAGGGUGCCGAUUCCCGGACACGGCAGUUUCUACGUCAUGCUCGGGCUUCAGGGACGACGUUGUAUCCUUUUGGUGUUCUCCGUGGGUCCCUGAGCCGUGCACACCUUUAAUUACUUUGCAUUUAGGCAUAUGUUUGUUUUAAACAUCCACUUCUGGGUCAUUUUAAAUGGGCCAUUUAAACUGGCAACACCAAUGAACUUCUGGGUGAUGCUCUUUGCUGGGGAAAUUUAAAAUGUAUGUUGUAGCUUGGCUGUAAAUAUUGUGCUAACUAUAUUUGAUAUUGAAAUCAAGUACUGUUUUGUAAAUACGCUUCUCUGUGGGAACGGCGUUACAGUGGACAGUCUGCGUUACUAAAAAACUUGGAAAGUCAGCCACUUGAGUUGGGGUUUCCCAACAUUGGAAGUGCUAAAGAACAUAGACACAGGUCAAGUCAGAGUCACACUCCAUGGGACAGCGCAUUAAGAAGGAGCCCAGACCUGAAAGAAACUUUUUUCCCUGUGGAAUGAACUGAAUAAAUAAAGGAGAAAUCACGGAGCUUUAAAAAUUGUGACUUAUGAAGGAACUCUUAAAACAAGGAGACCUCUUUUCUGUGAGAUACACUAAAUGAGAAAUCACAGGAUUUUGAAAUGUUGUGACUUAUCAAGGAACUCUAUUUGGAAACACGGAGACCUCUUCUCUAUGGGUUAGAGUGAAUGAAAUGAGAAAUCAUGGAGGAUAUUCAAAAAUUGUGACAUAGAAGGGACCUAAAACUGAAACAGGGAGCCUUCUUUUUCUGUGGCUUAGGCUGAACACAAGGAGAAAUCACAGGAUUUUUGAAAACUGUGAUCUAUGAUUCCUAUGAGAGUAAGUUACUGCAAUGAUAACUGGUUUUCUUAUUUUUGUAGAAUGGCAAGAAAUGUGCGUCACUUUUCUAAUGUGUCUGUUGCAUCAUGUGUAACUCUAGUGAGCUUGACUGACUGCCAUGGCUGUGACCAGGUAGACAAGGUGUUUCCCUUACAGAGUGAAUUAUGUCCGUGUAAUGAUAGAAAUAUCCCAUCCCUCCAAUUCCUAAAGUCACAGUGAAGAAACUUUCAUAAAAACCCUGAACUACCAAAAUAUACUUGGUUUAAGAUUGGAAAAAUGGUGUAAGAAGGCAUAGAGUGACUGUUCUGAUAUUCUUUGAUGGGGGGAAAGCAUUCACGGUUCAUUGUAGCCCUUGAUGUCAUUAUUACUGUUUUCUUUCCAAGGCCUAGCAUAAUAGUUGACAUCUAGUAGGGAUUGGAUGGAUAGUGAAUAAUUUUGCUAUAUUGGUAUAUUGUUAUUGACAGAAUCCACUUAUAAAUGAACAAAAGGUAUAAGCAAUGAGACCUAAUAGUUAAAAGGCAAAAUUUAGCUUUCAGUUUAAACCUUGAUUUUUCAUACUCUUUAUGAAGGUUUGAAUCAAGAAGCAGGACAUUUCAUUGUGCCAGAUUGCUGCGAUCAGAGAAUUGGGUGAUACUAUCUCACACUCAGCCUGCCUACUCCAUCAGUUAGAGUAAUGCUUCCACGCCAGCGCCAAAUUUCAGCUUGGGACUUCGGUGGAAAGAGGUGUCCCUUCAGGGGGUCUGCUUUAUUGUACACAUCCAUCUGUUCAGUCUAGCUCACUGGAGAGUAAACUUAACGUUUAAAAAAGACAAGCCUGUGCUCAUCUGAAGAAAUUUCAUGUGAAAACCUCUUAGAGAUGAAGAGUUCAUUGUUAGCGAGAAGUACACAAACAGUUUACUUGUUAGUAGGUAAAGGGUUACUUGGCCACAUAAAAAAUAUGGAAGUGUAUCUAUCAUUAUUUAGGUUGGUAAAAUUACAUAGAUUAUUUUUUCCUUGGUUUUUGUAAUGUACAUAAACAACUUUUACAACUCCCUCUAAAAGAAGACUUUGAACAGUUUUUAAAAUGACAAAAUCAUAUCCACAUGUGAAAUAUCUCAAUGUCACCUAUAAACAUCAUUUCAAAGUCAUUGUGUAUUUGACUGUGACUUUUAUAGAAAUGUAAAAAGGAGAUGCCAACUAGGAGGCAAGGAGGUGGCUGUCAUUGGUGGACACAGAUGGAGCCUAAGAAAGGUGGACAGGGGUUUCACCCCCAAACCUUGAGCGCAGAUUGCAUGGCGGAUGCUGCUCAGACUUCAUUGGGUGGCGCUACCUUCCUAGUUGAGAGUUUGGACAUCUUUAAACUGUAUUCGAACUUCCAGCCGGUCGCCUUACUUCUUUUUGUCUUCAGAUUCUGUCUUUCGUCUGUCUGCCAGAGAAGUCUUUGGGAGAGGUGACGAACCACAUCGUGUUUCAGCAGUGUUAGAAAUAAGCAAUAAUCAGAAGAGAGCAAAGACUAUGUAAACUGGUAAUAUUUAGAGCAUCUUUUGCCACUGUCGAAAUGGGAAACUUUCCACUUGCAGUUUCUGAACAUUUGGAUUCUUAAAACCUGUGAUGAUAUUCCUUCACUCUUCACCUUCUGGUCUGUAAGAAUCUCCUGAAGUGCGUACAGCAAGGAAUCAAUGUGACUGCAGCCCAGGACGAUGUACAGGUUCUCUGAAAAGUUCUUAUCCAUGAACGUAGACGAGCAGGAGAUCACAGCCCGAGGGACUGUUCCUGCAUUGGUAACCGUUCCGUGUCAAGUUCUGGAGACCCCUGAACUGUUCUGUCCCUGGACAGCUGUGGGAGUCUCGACCUUAUGCUGCUUUUAGGGGUCUUUGGCCAGAUCAGGAGUGACUCUGUGGCUCUGGCCUGCAUCUGUGCCUGGCCCAACAGCAUCAGGACAGCCUCUCUGUUGCUCCCCAAAAUGCAAGUGUGUGAAGGGCGAUGAUUGAACUGAAAUUUAUUUCAAGCGGAGAAAACUUGUAUUCUUGGGCUGUUCCAGACAGUAUCCAGUAGCCAUAAGCCAGCCCUGCAGGAAUCUGGGGAAAAGGGAAGGACAGCACAUUUGAGUUGAACUAGAAGCUUUACCAGCUACAAAAACAAAGACAAAAUAAAUGUAGAUUUAUACUCUUUUGAACUUCAUCCUGCCUUUCAAAUGUUUACAUUUCCUUGGACAUCUUUGGAUUUGGACAAAAAGCAUUUUUUUUUUGUCAUGCAGUAUCAACUCACCUUCGUAAGGUUUACCAUUAAAAGCCAUGCAUUUGUGACAUUUGUAUGCAUGUAUAAAAUACUGAGAUCUUCAUUUUUUAAUUCCAAAGCAUUUUUAAGACAGCCCAAAAUCUAAUCCCGCUAAUUACUUUAUUGGACACAUAAAGCUUGUGUGUAGGUAAUGGUAUUAAAAUGUAAAUAUAAAAUACUCAGUGAAUAAUGAAUGUAUAUGAACUGUCAUUGAUAUUUGAAGAUGAAGAGAAUGAAAUUCAACACGUAAUAGUUUUCAUUGUAUUUUAUUCUGUUAAACUUUUAUUGGGAAUGUAAUACUCAAGCACAGAGGCCUACAUUUAUAAACAAAUCUAUUAUUUUAGAUAACCUUUUAAAUGGUGGUUAUGAUAUUAGAGCUGGUUUCCUAGGAAGUUUCUAAUAACAUGUUUGAUGAAAUUGUCUUCUGGAAAAUAUUUUAGACAAAAAUUUUGAGGACGUUUGUAAAGAUAUACACAAUUCUGUAUUCAUUGUGUGCUCAGGGAUAACGGAAAAGGAAUGGUGUUCUUAACACAUUAAUCAGGAAAAAAAAUGAGGCACUAGGUAUUGUGUGCAUAUCGAGAAUAAUGUGCAUGAAAAAAGCCAAAUACAAUUGCUUUGUGACUUUUCCUGAUGUAAUUGUUAACAAAGAGUUUGGUAAGAUAUAUAGAAGAAAUAUUUUAAUACAUGAUUAUAAAAAUAGAACUGUCAGAAUACCUCUGAAUGAUGUGCAUUUAAAAUCAUUGAAUGGGUUAUUGCUGAGGGGUUUUGGGGACGGGGGAUUUUUCCGUAUACAGCUGUCACGUGGACAUUUUAAUAAGGCUGCUCUGCGGGGAUGUAGAUGUUACUAUGUAAAUGAUGUUUCUGUAAAAAUGUGUAUGGAGUGAUGGAGUGGCUGCUCUAUGCUUGAUAAUGGGUGUGCAGAGCUGUGUAGGCUUUAUUACCCUUUAAAUAAUAGAAAAAGUGUUGCUACAUCAUCUUAUCAAGCAUACAGUUGGCUGACAUUUGGGGCGUGACUCCAUCAUCAGAUGUUGGGAAUCUACAUAUAUUUUGUAAAUGUUCUAAUGUUAAAUAGGUAGACUUUCAACAUUAAUUUAUGUCUGGAACAUACUGCUAUACAUUUAGUUAUAAACAGUGUUACAAAUGUUGAAUAUUUUUGUUUUGAUAGUUUUCUACAUGUGUAUAUAUCAUUGUAAAUGUAAUAUAAAUAUGUAUCAACUCACUAGGAUAGAAGCUUUUUUGUUUGCCAAAGAUGUUAGACUUAGCCUCUCCCUGUGUUCUUUCGAUCAUUAGGCUCUAUGUUCAAGUUGCGAUAAAUACAAUGUGGAGUAUCUAGUAUCAUUUGGUUUUGAUGACCCGAUUCCUAACUUUGGGGGUGUCAUUGCAACUACAGGUUGGCCUUUGUUCAUGGCUUUCCAGUUGUACACACACAGAACACAGUUCGUGGCACAGCUUAGAGAAAUCUCCACAUGGGGUAAAGUAGCCUUCAUUAGAAAAGUUUUCCCUUGCCAAGGCAACUUGACUUUUAGAGAUAUUAGUGAUUUUUUUCUUGUUUUAAAGUACUUAUUUCUAGUUGUAUAGGUGAUUUAUAUGUUUUACGGGGACAUUAGCAAUGGUAUAUCAAACCCAAGUUCAUUAUAUGUGGGCUGACAAAAGAAUGUUUUUGUAUUAUAUGUAUAUAAUAGACACAGUAUUAUGUUUUUAAAGAAUAGGAGCUACUAUAUUUGCAUGUUUUAUAGGUAUAUUUAUUAUAUAUAAAGUGCAAACUUUCCCUAGUGGUUGUCAUAUUAUCUCUGAAUAAAUAAUUGGGCAGCUGAAAGGGGUAUUUUUUAGAUCACUGUAUAUAAAAUAGUUAGAAUACAUAAGUUUUUGCUUUAAACUUUUAGUCCUUGAAAUAUAAGGAUUGUUUACAUAUUCAUAUGUGUAUACAUGUGUACACAUAUACGUACAUGUACAUAUGUGUAUAUGAGUGUAUAGAACUGAUCAUUAAAAGUCAGGAUAGAGACUUGUUGGAAGGUACUGUGAGGCUGCUAGCUAAUUUACAUAGUGGACAAAUGUCUUUGUUUUAUAACAUCUGCAUAGGAUUUGCUGAUAGGCAUAUAUUUUCUCGCUACCAAACUGACAAAUUGAAAAACCUCUUUUGCAAAUUGAAUUGCUAUACUAUGUCUAUUUGGGAUGUAUUUGGUUAAGGAUGAUUGUAUUAUUUCUUUGCUUUGUACAUAGAAGCUGAAUGUUUUCUAAAACAGUUUGGUACAUAGAAUUACUAUCAAUAAUUUUAGAAGUAUAUGUUCAUUGAAUUGUUGAAUGUAGAGUCCCUGUUUUUGUCUAUGGAGUGUGCAUCUUCAUGAGUUAGGCUUGCUUUAGAAGACUUGUAUUCUGUUUUUUCUUUUCAUUAGACAUUCUUUAUUGAAGUGUAUAAAUCAUACCAUUUAUAUUUUAAACUAUGUAAACAUGUAUAAAUUUUCUUCCAAUCUAAUUUUUGAAUGUUAAAUGUUGGGACCGAGCAGGGAAGUACUUGACUGCUGUAUGUAUAGUAGACAAGCUUCUGAGAACAUGGAACUUCCUAGGUAUGUAACAAUGCCCUCUUGUCCUGCGCUUGCGCGGGCACACACGCACACACGCACACACGCAGAGAGUAAAUAUAUUGAUGUUGGAUAUUGUGAAGGGAGAUGAUUAAUCUGAUCAGAUCUUUGUUUCUAUACCACAUAACUUUGUAGAUAUGCAGAAAUUUUUGUCAUUUUAGAAUAUAUUUCACCUAAAAGUAGAGCACAUAUGCCGUUUUUGCCUGGUGACAUGGUACACAAAUCCGGUCUGCUGUGAUCUUUAGACUGCACGGUAUUCAUCUUUAAAACACGUGUUCAUUGCUGGUGCACUUUGCAGUAUCAGGAACUAUUAAUGUAGUUGGACUUUUGUCCUUAACGUUGAGUGGGUAAAGGGUUCCGGACAAGGGCAGUGGAUGUUGUCUCAUAGCAUCGCUGGGGGAUUACUCUUUUUUCCUUGCUUCUACUCUGAUGGCUAUUGAUAGCGCACAUGUGUAUGUCGCGGUCAUGGCACUGUUACACUGUAAGGCUGAAAUACUUCUGCAGAUAGUUCUAAGAACUCUUACCUAGGUGUCUCUUUGGGUUUGCUAAACAGCUGUGUUUAUAAUAAUUGCUUUAGGUCAAUUGGGCUUUGCAAAUACAUAGGAUGUUGGAAAAAGGAUGGGAGAGGAUAGUUUUCCCAGGAUAUCAUUCCCCUUAAUGUAGUUUUAAUUGGAUUACUGAGACUAUUAAAGACAAAGUAGUAGAAAAUCAUUGUCAUGUUAGGGAAGAGAUAGAUUAAGCUUUGAAAGUAUUUUCAAUUAACUUUAUUGGGGUAACACUCGUUAAUAAGAUCAUACAGGCUUCAAGGGUGCAUUUCUGGGAUACAUCACCUCUACAUAGCUCCCUGUGCCCACUGCCCGAAGGCAGGCCAUCUUUUGUCACGCUAAUCGGGUCCCCUUCCCCUUUACUGGCCCCUGACCUCCUUCCCUACAACACGGGGGGCCCUGAGAAUAUCGUGCUAAGUGAAAUAAGUCAGUCAGAACAAGCUGAGAACUGUAUGAUUUCACUCAUGUGGGAUAUAAAGCAUUGAAAGUAUUUUUACCUCACGUUGUUACUUAGAAGAACAAUUAGAUAGUAAUCAUUACAUUGAUUUUGUAUAAAUUGUCCAUUUUAUAUAAAAAUACCUCUAUUUCAGGGACACAUUUAUGAUAGUUAUUUUCCCAGAUAUACUGAAGUUUAUGAUGGAAAUCAAUUUGCAAUUUACAGAUUAUCUAAAAUACAUGGUUCUGUGUUCAUUUGUUACAUAGCAAUAACCAAGACAACUUUGUAAAUACUGGACAAAUGAAAUAUCUGGAUGUAUUGAGAGUCUCACAAAGUAUAAUCCUGUAAAUAUUUUACUGUAAAUUUGUUACCAUUGUUUUUUAAAAACACCAUGGCAAUUAAUCAUUGGUUAAGAGACUCUUGGAGCUUUGAAAAAUUAAUACAUUAAUUUGGUUGUUAAAGAGGAGAAAUGGACAAGAUAAUGCAUUUUACCCCAUUCUCGAAGAAUAGUUUGACAUUCUAACACGGACGAAUUAUUUUGAAAUACCAUGUGAAUAUAUUUGGUGUUUUUGGAUGUACCAAAUCUCCUGAUGUUUCUCUUAUAUAAUUUGUAUUAAUACUUUUGAAAAGCAGUUUUAAAUUCACAGCAAUAUUGAGGGGAAGGCACGAAGGCUUCCCUUCCCUACACACAUGCAUAACCCUCCUUGCCAUCGCCCCGAACCUCGGGGAGCGAUGCCUACUGCUAACAUCCCCGUCAGAGGGGGCAGUUGUGACAGCCGAUAACCCUAAAGCGCAACGUCACAGUCACCCGGAGUCCAUCGUUUGCAUUAGAGGUUCGGUUUUGUGGUGUACAUUCCAUGGGGUUAGAUACCUGCAUAAUGACACUCAUCCGUUAGUAAGGUCUACAGAGUGUUCUCAUUGCCCUAAAAGUCCUUUGUACUCUGCCUACUCAUUUUUCUGUGUUUUUUCUCUUAUUUUAACAUUCAAGAUACUAAUGACUUCAUUAAGUGAAUUUUAUACUACCUCUUGGAACUAUACACAGUUCUGUAUGUGUUCCCUUGGCUGCAUGACAAUAUUCAAGACAACUUUGUAAAUAACAGGCAGAUACACGUUUUUUACGUUUUAACAUCUAGUCUUUUCACGUGUACAGAGUCUCACAGAGUAUAAUUUUGUAAAUAAUCCAUUGUAAAACCUCAUGGUGAUACGUGUUAGGAACGCGUUCACACGGACGUGGCUGGAGUGGUGGGUUUCUAGAGCUGGGCACGGGCCUGGGACUGUUGGGGGGGGUCGGGGAGGAAAGGGCAGGCGGACGGCGCCUUCACUUCCGACUUCUCGCUGGAGAGAAAAUGCUACGUUUAAGCCAGUGUUUGUUUAGUGCUUGUAUUAUUACAUGUUAAAAGCCAACAUCAUACUUUUGUAUUUGUAUUGCUAAUAGGGCAUUAUGUAUUUUAAUCAUAGGAGAUGUGUUUUAUAUGAACCUCUGUUCUACCUUUUUGAAUUGUACAAUUUUGUAUUUUAAAUUGGGCUGCAUGACUACAUUCAAGACAACUUUGUAAAUAACAGGUACAUAUAUCAAUUUAAACAUCUAGUUUUUCUAGAUGCUGGGAGUUUCGCAAAAUUUUGUAAAUAUUUCAUUGCAACCUAUCGUAGUUGGCUUCUCUACUAUUUCAGCAAUGUGGUGGGUGGUGGGUAACGCUCCGCCCCCUAGGGCUGGGUGACCAUUCUGGGGUUUCUGGGUGAGGUUUUGCGAGAGGGGGUAACAGGUUAUCCCCAUAUGUUCAUGUUGUUAGGUUCUCAUGUAUAAGAAAAGAUUAGAGUGUAUACUUACCACAGAAAAUACACCUGGGAUGUGUUUCUAGUACAAAGAAAAAGACUUCAGAAGGGAAUUGUCACUUUGUCACAUUCAGACAUACUGAGCGAUCUAUUCAGAGGUUAAAGAUAACAUUGCUGAAGUAAUUCUUACUUUGCUAUGCUAGAUAAAUCUCUUUGCAAAUGUAUGUAUCCACAUAGCCAUAUGUAGUAAUGCAUAUACAAACAUUUUAGGAGUAUAGAUAAGAUGAUGUUCUUUUUUUGCUCAUUUAUUUAGCUUACUGAUUUUCAUUUUCUUCUCUUGAAAAUUAUGGAAAUAGUAUUCUUAGCUUAAGCAUUUCUAGAAACCUGCUUCAUGUUACAUUUAAAUAUAUGUUAGUUUUUAUAUAAGUAUAAGCAGCUUCAUAUCUUAUUUUUAACCUGUUUUCAUAUAUAUGCAUCUGUAUGAGAGAAUUCCUCUGUGAAUAUUUUUAAUAUUCUCUGAGAACUUUUUAAAGUUUUUUGAUGAAUUGGUAUUUUUGAAUGUUAUGUGAUAAAUGCCAAAAAAUGGUGUAUCUCAGUUGCCUAUUGUGUAAAUUAUGAAGCUUUCUUAAGAAAGAUGGUCCUAUCCAGUAUUGAUCAAAGUAUAAAUAUCUUUUUGAACAGCAGUUUGGUAAUGACAAUCAAAAUUGAAUGUGUAAAACGUGAGAAAUGAUGUAAGUCACUGCUGUGAGUUUAUCUAUCCCAACUCAGAAAUACGAAGAAGAAUGUUAAGGAGGGAGUGGGACGUUGACCAGCUGAAACACACAUCACUAAAGGAGAGGUGGUAACGAGUACAGCUUACAAAUCAUUAGUAUAAUUUAAACGUGGACAAAACAGUCUUAAGUGGAAAUAUUUUGAUACUUAAAAUUGUCAUUUUUGAACAAAGAUUGAGUAAUCGAUUGCGCGUGGACAGCGGUGUGUCCACCCGCCUCCCGUUCUGCCCACGGGGGAACGGGAUUGUCCUGUUAUGAUGAGAGUUGAGUAAGGAGCCUUCAUCAUCACUGUGGCUACAAUGGUAAUUGUUUGGGCCGCCUUUUUGACAUUUCUGUACACGUGCUAGUUAAACAGUGAGGCAUUGUUUAAUCCAUAUAUUUGUAUAUUGCUACACGACAAUCUAAAAUGACUGUUAAGAAUUAUGGAAGAGAAAGGUGUCUGGAGGAAUAUGGCAAAAUUUAAAUGCAUGGAGAGAUGGGAAAAGGAGGACUGCUUUUACUUUCUGCAUUUAAAAUUUAAAAGGCAUUUCGAACUGAACAUUUAACCAACAAGGAAUUGUAACGAUACAACCAACUUGUGCCUCUUCAAUCUUGCCUAUAAAUAUCUUGGGAAUAUUGGGCAACGGCGUCCGGCCUUAUGUUCCCACUGGCCAUGUAUGGCGGGUUUGAGAGAUGAAGAAGAGCACGUGACUCGGACGAGUGCAGCAGCGGCUGUACAGUGUCACACAGAGAACCGAUCAUCCAAGGAGAGGAGGAGGAGAGGACGGCAUUGGAGGUACGAGCCACAGACGUCCAUUUGAGGAGCAGACCGAAGGUGAACAUGAUGGAAGAGAAACGUAUAUGCAGAUAACGAGAGGACAGCUAACAUCAUCAGGAACAUCUGCCUUUCUGUGAAGUUCCUUUAAAUUUCAACUGAACCACAGGAACGGAUAGUUCCAGGAAUCUACACUUUUUUGCUGUCCUUGUUAUUAGUCCCAAGAAUUGGCGCCACCACCCUGUGGAGUGCUCCUCAUUGCUGUGCGCUGCACGCCUGCCUGAGAGCCCAGGACCAGUAGGCCUGAGGGUGGAUGACCGCUCCUUUGACGCAGGGCAGGCCGCUGCCGGAGGCAGAGCUGGGGGUGACCGAACAGGAGCCGGUGCCCUUGCUUCUGCCACCGUCUUCAGACCCAAAAGACAAUCUUCAUCAUGUGUCGGAGACGCCGCUUUUGUGUGUUGCCAGGGAUGCUCCCUGCAGAUGAGAACAUGGGACUGAGAAAGCUCAUGUUGGAAAGUGCCCUGAAGGGUGUCGUGGAGACUUGUAAGAGGCAUGUUGACCGUUUCCAUUGUUGCUGUUGGACUGAGUCCCCGGAGAUGGAGCAAAGGGAGCCAUCACUCCCGGGAGGCCUGGGACAUGCCGAGGCGGGGCCCCAUGUUCCCGGGAGCGCUGAGUGCGUGUGUCUGACUCCACGCACCGCAGGGCGGAUCUGAAAUGUAUUCCUUAAAAGUCAUCUUAUUGUGAUUUUAGGACAUAGGUAGUUGUUCAUUAUAUACUCAAUAGUUUUCCUUCAAGUGCCUUUGUUUUCCUUUUUAUUUUACUACCUAGUAUAGAUUGUCUCUUUAUUUUUCAAUUAUAUUGGACACGUAGUACUAGUAUAUAUCCGAUUUAGGUGUCCAGCACAGUGAUUAGAUAGUCAUCUACUUCAAAGUGUUCACCGCUUACUUCAAGUUCCCACCUGGCACCAUACGCAGUGCUUAGAGUGUUUUGACUGUAUUCCCUAUGCUGUUACCUAUUAAUGGAGUGUGCGCACAUCCUUUUGGGUUGUGUUGAGUAAAUUGAUAGUUAAGUAGUGUUUGGGGGCCCAGAUGCUCUCUACAUACUCCUUAUGCAGUAAACUCGCUGUUGUAUAACUCAUUUUGAAUUUGUUCAAACUAAUUUGUUGAAAUAAUUUUAAUUAAUUAGAAAUGUUGGGGCUAAGGAUAUCAAAAAUUUACAUUUUGAAUCAAAACAGUAGUUUCUACCUAAAUAUAAAUGCUGCUCAUCAAUUUGUCAGUGUUUAUGAGAGUUCAGACUAUACAACACAGCAUUUUUGUUCUUUGACGGUGUGAAACUACAGAGAAAUUAUUCUUUUGUCAUUGUUCAGCUCAGUCAUCAUAUUCUUUGUUCUUAAUUGUCAUUUGUAUUAUUUCUUUUUCGAUUUUUCCAGUUUCCUUGGAUAAUUAGUGUCUUUGUAACUGGUUUCUUAAGAGCUCAUUUAUGACUAAAAUGUUAACCAUACUGCAUGCAUUGCAAAUGAAAUACCAUGUUUUUGUUAUUUUACUGUGCUGUUUUAUUUUUUGGUUGUAAAGAAGUGUGUAUUCAAAUAUAAUCAUUCUGUUUUAUGCCUUUUGUGUUUGUGUUUUUCUUUAAAAACAUGUUUACAUUUAGUAUUACACAUUUUUGUCUGUAUUUCCUUCUAUUUUUGUUAUUUUUUCAUUUUUUCUUUUUCCAUGAAUCAUUGCUACAGUUUGAAAGCAUUACAUACACGAAGUAUUCACUGUGAUCUAAGCAGUUAACCACUUGUUUCAAAACCUACUCUAUCC